rnacentral:rRNA from 1 species
AGUGAACGCUGGCGGUAGGCCUAACACAUGCAAGUCGAACGGCAGCACAGUAAGAGCUUGCUCUUACGGGUGGCGAGUGGCGGACGGGUGAGGAAUACAUCGGAAUCUACUUUUUCGUGGGGGAUAACGUAGGGAAACUUACGCUAAUACCGCAUACGACCUACGGGUGAAAGCAGGGGAUCUUCGGACCUUGCGCGAUUGAAUGAGCCGAUGUCGGAUUAGCUAGUUGGCGGGGUAAAGGCCCACCAAGGCGACGAUCCGUAGCUGGUCUGAGAGGCUGAUCAGCCACACUGGAACUGAGAAACAGUCCAGACUCCUACGGGAGGCAGCAGUGGGGAAUAUUGGACAAUGGGCGCAAGCCUGAUCCAGCCAUACCGCGUGGGUGAAGAAGGCCUUCGGGUUGUAAAGCCCUUUUGUUGGGAAAGAAAAGCAGCAGGUUAAUACCCCGCUGUUCUGACGGUACCCAAAGAAUAAGCACCGGCUAACUUCGUG